GCCGUGGCCUACUGGUUAGCGCUUCGACUUGUAACCCGGAGGGUUGCCGGUUCGAACCCGACCAGUAGGCG
rnacentral:tRNA from 1 species